rnacentral:siRNA from 1 species
GCGGACCUAAUCAUGACAAACCA